rnacentral:lncRNA from 1 species
CCAUGGCUUGGGCCUGUCCAGUGGCCUGGUCAUUUCCAAACUGUCAUAGUCCUGCUGGCUUUGUCAUUGCCUCAUAAGGAGGCAGUUGCCAUUGACUCAGGGAAGAUAUAAUCUUUGCCUGUCAGUAGAAGGCAUACUUGUGCCACUUGCAGUCACCUCUUCUUGCACCCUGCAGGCUAGCAGUACCACUUCCCAUCUCUCUCCCUCCUGCACCUGUUGUGGUUGCUUGCUUUGAAGUAGAUUUUCACACACACCCCUUUUUCCCCUUGUCUGUCUCUCAGAGUCUUGUCUUCCCUCAGGGCCAUCAUUAUAUGACUAGGGUCUGUUGUAGGGCCCCCUAAACUUUGCUGAAUGGCUGUCACAAUAGGAAAAAAAAUGUAGUGGUGAUGUAUACCCCUGUCUCACUUCAGCUUGCCAUACAUUUGCCAUUAUCUUGUCCCAUAUCCUACGAUCAAAAACAUCAGUGGCACUAAUCCAGGGGUAGUGUCUAUUACUAUGUCCUAUUACUACUAUAAAACUUCUGAGCUUCUCUCUUAUUCUGGGUUAAACCUCUAGUAUCUAAGACAGUGCGCAGCAUUUGCAGCUGCGAGUCUGUGGUGGAACUCAGUAGGUUCCCCAUUUUCCCUUCCUCACCGCUCUGUGAGGGGCCACACCCUGCCUUAUAGGCUUACCUCAUCUUAGGAAAAUAAGACAGAUGAGCUAGCUCUAAGUCUUAUGGAGCUAACUGUCCUACUAGAAAAGUAAGAGUUAAAAAGUCCACCAGUCUCCAAGGCCACGGGAGCGAGGCAAUACAGAAGGACAUGGGAGGCAGGGAGGUCAGCUCCGCCAUUUAGCACAGUAAAACGCACACCCUGAGGUGGAGGCUCAAGAUGGUGUGUCUCCUCUACAUGCGAUGACAUCAUGAGACCUGGACCCUGCUGCCCUGUCAACGUCUGAAAAGCUCUUCCCUUGUUCUUGGUUGGAGUCAGCCUGGGAUUUCUGUUCCUCACGUGCUUUCUCCUUUCUUGCUCAAGCAGAAGUUCCUCAAUAAAACCUUCUCUGGGCUUUAGUGCUUUCCAGAUGCAGAGUUCGUUUCUAUAAUUCUGGAUCCAAGAAGCUGAGUUCCAGCAACACAGUAGGAAUUGAGAGCUAUGAAAGAUGGUAGCCAGGUGGGGAGGUGUGUACCUAGCAGGAGGCUGAGGCAGGAGGAUGGUUGAAGCCCAGGGGUUUAGAGUCAGCCUGGGCAACAGAGUAAGAUCCUGUUGAGAAAGAGAGAGGGGAUAGAGGGGAAGGAAGGAGGAAGGAAGGAAGGAGAGAGAGAGAAAGAAAGGUAGAGAAGAGGGACUGCGCUGGCCCUGCUGUCUGUCCACCUGCUGCUGCCUCUUCACUGAUGGCCCCUGAGAAGAGGGAAUGUUACUCUAACUGAUCAGAGCCCAAGACCUGGGCUGAGUCACAUGAAUUGACAGGGACUCAUCCCUGGCCCCUGCUGUGUGGCUGAUGGGUUGAGCCCAGAGGACUUAAGAGACUUUGGCUGCAUCUGGGGACACUACUUAAUAAUAGAAUUGUAUUUUGCUUCCCAAUGUAACUGUCAGGGCAGAAUCUAGAAAUCCUGAGGUCCUGGAUUCCAGAGCCUAAAUUCUUUCUGGAUUCAUUAUAUGUUUGUACAACUCUGGAUCCAAGAACCCACAUUGGGCUAACAACUGAUAAGUACAGGUAAGGAGGUGCCCUGAUGGUAUCCUGAAACAAC